rnacentral:rRNA from 1 species
UACGUAGGGGGCAAGCGUUGUCCGGAUUUAUUGGGCGUAAAGAGCGUGUAGGCGGCUUGGUAGGUCCGCUGUGAAAACUCGAGGCUCAACCUCGAGAUGUCGGCGGAAACCACUUGGCUAGAGGCCGGAAGAGGAGAGUGGAAUUCCUGGUGUAGCGGUGAAAUGCGCAGAUAUCAGGAAGAACACCUAUGGCGAAGGCAGCUCUCUGGGACGGUACUGACGCUGAGACGCGAAAGCGUGGGGAGCGAACAGG